GCCCCGGUAGCUCAAUUGGCUAGAGCAUCGGUCUUCGGAACCGAGGGUUGUAGGUUCAAAUCCUAUCCGGGGUA
rnacentral:tRNA from 1 species